GCCCCAGUAAGACCCGAAUCGGGAAAGAAGGUGCAUUUACCCAGGUAGAUGGGUUUGCGCAGGCGGACUUCUAAUCCGCAGGUUGGGGGUUCGAGUCCUCCCGGGGGCG
rnacentral:tRNA from 1 species